AUUUUAAUAAUGAUUGUUUUCAGAUGAAUGAAGACGGUUCUUUGAAUAUGGAAGUAAUUGAAGUAUUGUGUCCUCCAAAACUGAAACGAGAAAUGGAAGUAGGUCUUCCUCGGUGUCACGCAGAAUCUGCAGGCAUAAGACCUCUGUAUGAGAGAACAUACCAAAUAACGAAAUGUUUUUAUGAAAGGUAUCCCGAUCAUUUCUUUGUGCUUUGAGGCGCAACAUUUCACCACUGAGUCUCCAUAGUUCCGCCGGCAGAAAGCAACUAUGAACUUUACUAUAUAGUUUUCAAUUUGUGUGUUUGUGCAUGCUAAUUAAUUUAUGAUAAAAUAAAUACACAUUUGAAAUAUUA